GAUCUGAUAGCUCAGUGGGUACAGCUCAUGCUGAGCAUGAAUGAGGUUCUUGGUUCAGUUCCCAGGACCUCCAUUUGAAAAAAAAAAAA